GCAUUUGCGAGCAUAUUCCGGCAAGCCAUUGAUCAGCAGCCGGCCGUCCUGGAAACCAGCAAUGCCGAACUUGCUUGCUAUCUGCACUUUUUCUCUUGGCAGAUGCUUCAGAGCCUUCAGUUUUCGGACACAGAAUUAGCCAUAUAACUUGCAAAAUCGUAGCAGCAGUUCAAUAAUGUAUGCAUGCUAAACUCGUCUCAUGGCAUGAUCAAGCACUUGAGAUGGGAGACAGACCUGCCCAAUAAGGUUUUCAUUGUGUCCGUUGCCAUAGGCAUCAGAAGUGUCGAAGAACGUCACCCCCUUAUGGAAGGCAUCAAUGACGAUGGCAGCACCUUCUUCGUAGGACAGAGGAUCGUUGAAUAUCCCUGAGAGACCCGAGCAACCAAAACCCAACUUUGAAACCUGUUAAAAAGACGGAACAACACGGAGCAUUACUACAAGUCUACAAGACUGCUUGAAGGUUGAAACAUGUGAGAAUCCUUCAUUAUGAGGCACUUAGAAGGGAUGUUUUUAGAAACUUGAUGCUGCAAAUGUUGGAGUUCAAUGAAAUACAAGCAAGCUUUACGGGGAGCUCCCAGCAGCAUAUCAAGUACAGAGGACAUGAGGCGGUUCUAAAGCAGGGAUGUCAAGCUCCUCUUACACAUCCUUUUUUCGUCGACAGGAAGUUCCUCCUGACAUCCAUGUUCUAAGAAGUUUCAUGCAAGCAUGGAAACUUGGCACAAAGCGAAUGAAAGGAUCCAAGUGCCUUUGGGCCUACCUUAAUAAAAAGGUGUAAGACAUGAAAGUUUUCACAUGUCGAUAGGGACUCAAGAGUACAAACUAACUGAAGGGUGCUAUGCUUCUUCAGCCCUUCAGGGCCGAAGCACAACUGGAGUUUGAGGCUUCAUGUGUUGGAGAAACAACACAAUGGUGCAUACCAACCCUAUGAUGUUUCUUCUCAAGGCCUACCUCCAGUCCUUGUGUCCCAAGCUUCACUUGUGGGACUCGAGUCCGCUGUUGUGCCUUCUGCUCCAUGCUGUCCCGUCCUCGAGGCUGCCGCUUGCGGUACCUGACGCCGUCAAGAUUUCUGAGCUCUACAGAAAGUAAA